CCUGCCUGUGACUCCCCUGCGUGUAACCUCUUGUGAUUUUCAACCAGUGUUCCCUCGUGUUCUUUUGGUGAUCUUUAGGUUUAGUAUUUUGGCCUUUUUGUGCAUUUUGAUUUUGUUAGCACCUUUGUUGUAGUUUUUGCAUUUUUAGUUAAUUGAAGAGUUUUUUUGUGCCUUUGCAAUUGAGUCCUUCCCUUUUGAGUUUUUACCAAUCCUGACAGUAGGUGAAACAGGCAGAGCUUUCAGCUCAUGCAAAAAGGAACACAAAACUGAAUGUGAAAAAGAAACAGCCAAAACAUUCACCCAAGCCACGAAGCGACAAGCCCAACAGGAUCAGCUUAAGUCCGCAAUCUAAGACCACUGCAAGAGGGAGAACCAUCUCAUGGACUGGGACAAGGCAAAGGUCAUAGGCACAGAAAGCAACAAACACCAUCAUUGGAUCAGGGAGGUCAUCGAGAUCCGGAAAUGCGGCCACCAGACUGUAAAUCGGGAUGAGAGGGCGUACCAACUUUCUCACACCUGGGAUACAGUUCUGAAGAAGUCGGACUGCAGAUGGCACUGUCAUCCUGCUGCUCCAAGUAGAAAGACAGCGCCAAGAAAACCUGUAUAAAUCAGCUGACCAGACACGUCACUGCAACAUCGUGACACUUCUGAAGAAGUCAACAGAGCGCAGCCAAAAGUGUCAAGAGAUUGGGUUUCUCCUCCUGCACUGGCUCUCCCGGCUCCUGCACACCUGUGUCUCAUCACUGCAGUCACCAUCCCGCUCUUACGCUGCGUUCGAUUGUACUCAGAACUUGGAUAAAUCUGACCUCCGAAUUGGAAAAGUGCAACAGAACGGCCCUUGAGCUCGGGACUCUGAGUCGGGAAUUUGGGUAGGAUCCAAGCAACCCGAGUCGGUUGGAAUGACGUAGCAAUAUGGCGUCACACACCUGCCUCCAUGAGCCUCCAGUCCAAGCCCAAUCUCUGCCAUGCUGCCAAACUCUCUCUCUCCAGAUUCACUUGCCAGCCUCUCCCCUCCAAGCCUCACUCACGCAGCCCUCACGCCUUCACGGAGCUCCCUCUUCCCCAGACCUUGGAUUCCCCCCUUCCCCCACUGCCUGUUUCACAUCAAUAAAGCUUUUAAAACUG